GUCUUUUUGAUUAUAAUUUAAAGUCUAACCUGCCCACUGAAAUUUUUAAAGGGCCGCGGUAUUUUGACUGUGCAAAGGUAGCAUAAUCAUUAGUCUUUUAAUUGGAGGCUUGUAUGAAUGGUUGGAUGAGGUAUUAACUGUCUCAAUUUAAUAAAUAAUAGAAUUUUAUUUUUAAGUUAAAAAGCUUAAAUAUUAUUAAAAGACGAGAAGACCCUAUAGAUCUUUAUAAUUAAAUUUAUAAUAAUUUUUUAGGUUAAAUUUAUUUUUAUAAAAAUAAUUAUUAUAUUGGGGUGAUAAAAAAAUUUGUUAAACUUUUUUUAUAAAUAAACAAUGAUAUUUGAUUAAUUGAUCCAUUUUUUGUGAUUAUAAGAUUAAGUUACCUUAGGGAUAACAGCGUAAUUUUUUUGGAGAGUUCAUAUCGAUAAAAAAGAUUGCGACCUCGAUGUUGAAUUAAAGGUUAAUUUUAGGUGUAGAAGUUUAAAAUUUUGGUCUG
rnacentral:rRNA from 1 species